rnacentral:rRNA from 1 species
GAUGAACGCUGGCGGCGUGCCUAAUACAUGCAAGCCGAGCGAACGGACGAGAAGCUUGCUUCUCUGAUGUUAGCGGCGGACGGGUGAGUAACACGUGGAUAACCUACCUAUAAGACUGGGAUAACUUCGGGAAACCGGAGCUAAUACCGGAUAAUAUUUUGAACCGCAUGGUUCAAAAGUGAAAGACGGUCUUGCUGUCACUUAUAGAUGGAUCCGCGCUGCAUUAGCUAGUUGGUAAGGUAACGGCUUACCAAGGCAACGAUGCAUAGCCGACCUGAGAGGGUGAUCGGCGACACGGGAACGGAGACACGGUCCAGACUACUACGGGAGGCAGCAGUAGGGAAUCUGCCGCAAUGGGCGAAAGCCUGACGGAGCAACGCCGAGUGAGUGAUGAAGGUCUUCGGAUCGUAAAACUCUGUUAUUAGGGAAGAACAUAUGUGUAAGUAACUGUGCACAUCUUGACGGUACCUAAUCAGAAAGCCACGGCUAACUACGUG